rnacentral:rRNA from 1 species
GAUGAACGCUGGCGGCGUGCCUAAUACAUGCAAGUCGAGCGAACAGACGAGGAGCUUGCUCCUCUGACGUUAGCGGCGGACGGGUGAGUAACACGUGGAUAACCUACCUAUAAGACUGGGAUAACUUCGGGAAACCGGAGCUAAUACCGGAUAAUAUAUUGAACCGCAUGGUUCAAUAGUGAAAGACGGUUUUGCUGUCACUUAUAGAUGGAUCCGCGCCGCAUUAGCUAGUUGGUAAGGUAACGGCUUACCAAGGCGACGAUGCGUAGCCGACCUGAGAGGGUGAUCGGCCACACUGGAACUGAGACACGGUCCAGACUCCUACGGGAGGCAGCAGUAGGGAAUCUUCCGCAGUGGGCGAAAGCCUGACGGAGCAACGCCGCGUGAGUGAUCAAGGUCUUCGGAUCGUAAAACUCUGUUAUUAGGGAAGAACAAAUGUGUAAGUAACUAUGCACGUCUUGACGGUACCUAAUCAGAAAGCCACGGCUAACUACGU